rnacentral:rRNA from 1 species
UAGGGAAUCUUCCACAAUGGACGAAAGUCUGAUGGAGCAACGCCGCGUGAGUGAAGAAGGGUUUCGGCUCGUAAAACUCUGUUGUUAAAGAAGAACAUAUCUGAGAGUAACUGUUCAGGUAUCGACGGUAUUUAACCAGAAAGCCACGGCUAACUACGUGCCAA